rnacentral:rRNA from 1 species
ACUGCCUGAUGGAGGGGGAUAACUACUGGAAACGGUAGCUAAUACCGCAUAAUGUCGCAAGACCAAAGAGGGGGACCUUCGGGCCUCUUACCAUCGGAUGUGCCCAGAUGGGAUUAGCUUGUUGGUGGGGUAACGGCUCACCAAGGCGACGAUCCCUAGCUGGUCUGAGAGGAUGACCAGCCACACUGGAACUGAGACACGGUCCAGACUCCUACGGGAGGCAGCAGUGGGGAAUAUUGCACAAUGGGCGCAAGCCUGAUGCAGCCAUGCCGCGUGUAUGAAGAAGGCCUUCGGGUUGUAAAGUACUUUCAGCGGGGAGGAAGGGAGUAAAGUUAAUACCUUUGCUCAUUGACGUUAUCCGCAGAAGAAGCACCGGCUAACUCCGUGCCAGCAGCCGCGGUAAUACGGAGGGUGCAAGCGUUAAUCGGAAUUACUGGGCGUAAAGCGCACGCAGGCGGUUUGUUAAGUCAGAUGUGAAAUCCCCGGGCUCAACCUGGGAACUGCAUCUGAUACUGGCAAGCUUGAGUCUCGUAGAGGGGGGUAGAAUUCCAGGUGUAGCGGUGAAAUGCGUAGAGAUCUGGAGGAAUACCGGUGGCGAAGGCGGCCCCCUGGACGAAGACUGACGCUCAGGUGCGAAAGCGUGGGGAGCAAACAGGAUUAGAUACCCUGGUAGUCCACGCCGUAAACGAUGUCGACUUGGAGGUUGUGCCCUUGAGGCGUGGCUUCCGGAGCUAACGCGUUAAGUCGACCGCCUGGGGAGUACGGCCGCAAGGUUAAAACUCAAAUGAAUUGACGGGGGCCCGCACAAGCGGUGGAGCAUGUGGUUUAAUUCGAUGCAACGCGAAGAACCUUACCUGGUCUUGACAUCCACGGAAGUUUUCAGAGAUGAGAAUGUGCCUUCGGGAACCGUGAGACAGGUGCUGCAUGGCUGUCGUCAGCUCGUGUUGUGAAAUGUUGGGUUAAGUCCCGCAACGAGCGCAACCCUUAUCCUUUGUUGCCAGCGGUCCGGCCGGGAACUCAAAGGAGACUGCCAGUGAUAAACUGGAGGAAGGUGGGGAUGACGUCAAGUCAUCAUGGCCCUUACGACCAGGGCUACACACGUGCUACAAUGGCGCAUACAAAGAGAAGCGACCUCGCGAGAGCAAGCGGACCUCAUAAAGUGCGUCGUAGUCCGGAUUGGAGUCUGCAACUCGACUCCAUGAAGUCGGAAUCGCUAGUAAUCGUGGAUCAGAAUGCCACGGUGAAUACGUUCCCGGGCCUUGUACACACCGCCCGUCACACCAUGGGAGUGGGUUGCAAAAGAAGUAGGUAGCUUAACCUUCGGGAGGGCGCUUACCACUUUGUGAUUCAUGACUGGGGUGAAGUCGUAACAAGGUAACCGUAGGGGAACCUGCGGUUG